rnacentral:sRNA from 1 species
AACAGGUGAACAGCUUGCGUUAAAGCUG